rnacentral:rRNA from 1 species
GACGAACGCUGGCGGCGUGCUUAACACAUGCAAGUCGAACGGAAAGGCCCUGCUUUUGUGGGGUGCUCGAGUGGCGAACGGGUGAGUAACACGUGAGUAACCUGCCCUUGACUUUGGGAUAACUUCAGGAAACUGGGGCUAAUACCGGAUAGGAGCUCCUGCUGCAUGGUGAGGGUUGGAAAGUUUCGGCGGUUGGGGAUGGACUCGCGGCUUAUCAGCUUGUUGGUGGGGUAGUGGCUUACCAAGGCUUUGACGGGUAGCCGGCCUGAGAGGGUGACCGGCCACAUUGGGACUGAGAUACGGCCCAGACUCCUACGGGAGGCAGCAGUGGGGAAUAUUGCACAAUGGGCGGAAGCCUGAUGCAGCAACGCCGCGUGCGGGAUGACGGCCUUCGGGUUGUAAACCGCUUUCGCCUGUGACGAAGCGUGAGUGACGGUAAUGGGUAAGGAAGCACCGGCUAACUACGUG